CAGUAGCCGCGGGAAUACGUAGGUGGCAAGCGUUGUCCGGAAUUAUUGGGCGUAAAGGGCUCGCAGGCGGUUUCUUAAGUCUGAUGUGAAAGCCCCCGGCUCAACCGGGGAGGGUCAUUGGAAACUGGGAAACUUGAGUGCAGAAGAGGAGAGUGGAAAUCCACGUGUAGCGGUGAAAUGCGUAGAGAUGUGGAGGAACACCAGUGGCGAAGGCGACUCUCUGGUCCGUAACUGACGCUGAGGAGCGAAAGCGUGGGGAGCGAACAGGAUUAGAUACCCCUGUAGUCCCUGUCUCUUAUAC
rnacentral:rRNA from 1 species